GCGUCGGUGGUUCAGUGGUAGAAUACACGCCUGCCACGCGGGUGGCCCGGGCUCGAUUCCCGGCCGACGCA
rnacentral:tRNA from 1 species